rnacentral:rRNA from 1 species
CCCUUAGAUGUUCUGGGCCGCACGCGCGCUACACCGAUGCAUUCAACGAGUCUAAAACCUGCUCUGAUAGGGGUGGGUAAUCUUUUGAAUGUGCAUCGUGAUUGGGAUAGAUGAUUGCAAUUUUUCAUCUUCAACGAGGAAUGCCUAGUAAACGCAAGUCAUCAGCUUGCAUUGAUUACGUCCCUGCCCUUUGUACACACCGCCCGUCGCUCCUACCGAUUGAAUGAUCCGAUGAAUAUCAUGGAUUGAGGAUGCAAGCAGGUUCGCCUGUCUUCAUCUUCGAGAAGUGAAGUAAAUCUUAUCAUUUAGAGGAAGGAGAAGUCGUAACA